UGUGGGGGCAGCGGGUUUCGGGCCUGUGUGGUCGCGGGUGAACAAUCCUCGCGUGUUUUCAGUCACGGGGGCGCGACUUGCUGUGGAGUCGCGUGGAAAUUCUACGUUAACGGCGUCGUCGGAGACGCGGGGUGUUCGCCUCCGUUUAGUUGGAUUUUCUGAGCUUCGGCGCAGCAGGAGGGGCGCGGGCGCCCCGUGAGCACCCGGGGCUCUCCCCUCCCUGCCCUCCCCUGUAGCCCCCGUCCACCUGCAGCCCCUCCGCACGCCUCUCCUGCAGCCGCGCCCCUGUGCCCGCUCCUGCCUCCACAGCUGCCGGGCUCGCCUUGGCACUCGCUUCCCGGGACUCGGGGUGAAGCUCUUGCCUGCGGGAGCCCAGUUUCUUCAGGAGCCACCCGGAGCAAGAGGGAGGCUCUUUCACCCAACAGUACGUGGGCGAGGCGAUCCACAGGCUUGGCUGUGGCCAGAGGCUGGUGUUUUCACUGCAUAGAGUAUUCCACUCAAUGUCAACACUGGCUACAUUCAGAAGCAUGGGAGGAUGAGAGAAUUCACCAGAGACAGAGCAGGGAACAGAACAGGCAGACUGACGAAGUACGCUGCUGAGGGGAGCUGCGGUCGGAAGGAGAGGAGGCGCAAUACGGAGGCAGAGUGAAGACACUGGGCUCAGCGCCGCCAUAAACUCACAACAAUGUGCAGGACAACAUCGAUGCCCCUGAAAGAGAAAUGGGUGACCAGGGCACACACCAGGAGCAGGGACCAAUGGCAAGAAACCGGGAAAACGUUAACUGACCUGCAUCUACAGUUAUACUGGAGCAGAAUUAAACCCCCUACAGAUGUGGACUCGGGGACACAAGCCACAUUGGGGACUUUGGAGAUUCAGCACUUCCCUCAGCGCUGGGCUCAACCCGCUGGGCCCUCCGGGAGGCCCUAUUUUUGAAGACAACAUACCAGUUCUCUACAGCUGCGUAGAAAGAGCGUCCAGAUGCCUCCACACCCCAGGGCUCGCAGGAAGAACAGGUCACCUGGAGGUGCCCCUGCAGUGGGAACCAGUGUGUCCACGGCGGCCGCCUCCUCGUGCCCUCUGGGACCUGCGUGGGAAGAGCAGAGCCAGUGAAGCCCAAGCACGGAGGAGGCUCUUUCCUUAGUGACACCCCCGGGAAGUGCUGCAUGGACUCAGAUGCGACAAAGUACAGAUGGAAACCAGGAGGCCCUAUCGAGGCACCACUCACUGGCGGGUAAGCAAUUCUCAAAGUUGGAAUCUCCGUUGUGAAAAGGGGCUCAGUA